AACGAACGCUGGCGGCAGGCUUAACACAUGCAAGUCGAACGGGCCCUUCGGGGUCAGUGGCAGACGGGUGAGUAACGCGUGGGAACGUGCCCUUCAGUUCGGGAUAACCCAGGGAAACUUGGGCUAAUACCGGAUACGUGCGAGAGCAGAAAGAUUUAUCGCUGAAGGAUCGGCCCGCGUCUGAUUAGCUGGUUGGUGGGGUAAUGGCCCACCAAGGCGACGAUCAGUAGCUGGUCUGAGAGGAUGAUCGGCCACAUUGGGACUGAGACACGGCCCGAACUCAUCCGGGAGGCAGCAGUGGGCAAUAUUGGGAAAUGGGCGCAAGCCUAGUCCAGCCAUGCCGCGUGAUUGAUGACGGCCUUAGGGUUGUAAAGCUCUUUCGCACGCGACGAUAAUGACGGUAGCGUGAGAAGAAGCCCCGGCUAACUUCGUGCCAGCAGCCGCCGUAA
rnacentral:rRNA from 1 species